GUCUAUAACAUGUUGAAGAUCUUUAUGGUGUAUCUCGUGGAGGAAAUUAAUUUCACGAAAUUAAUUAAACAGUCAAUUAUCUGUUGUACCGAUACAUCUUGAUAUUCAAUGGAAUAAUUUUUGAUAUUUAUUGAUGAUUUCAAAUUCUACCAAUGUGAUCGGGAUAGUCGUGUUUCGUUACAAAACGAACAAAAUCCCGAAGUCUCGUGUAACGGGCUAUAGGAGGCGUUGGUGCGUUCUUUAAAACAGAAUAACUUUUCAAAAAUUGAGUCAAACAAUUUGUUUCUUUCCUUUUUUCUUUUUUUUUUUUUUUUACGAGUUAGACUCAUUGGAAAGAUUAACAAUAGGUUACGUGUAAAGAAAUGUUGAAAGAAGUACAAUUAGUCGGAAUAGCGAAGAAGGAAGUAAAGGUAGCUUUUUACAACUUUUCUAGCUGGACCUGUAACGAAGAUUUAAAUAACGCAUUUCGAAGAUUUCCUCUAACUCGUCGAGCAAAAUUCAAAUGGUUCGGUCCACAGUUGCAGACGAGUUAUUUCGUUCGAAUGAACGUACGAAACGAAAGAUAUUUUUACGGCGAGUGUCGGACUAUUUUAGCUUUCGAGGCAUUGUAAGUUGAAUUUUAGUUGCGGUGUCGACAAAUCAUUGAUUCAGUGACAGUGAAUUUUCUUUUUUCUGGGUGUGAUGCGAAUGCGCAGAAACUUUGAAACGUUCCCGCUGAACGAACAGGACCUUCCGGCUGCCAUGGAUAUUGAUUUUCCAUGGGCUUCAAGGUUUCUGGAGCAGCUGUACCCAUCCAGCGCAGACUCUGGCUAUUCUCAAUAUGGCUGUCUAUUGUACCCAAAUCCGCUCGUUUUGCGUUGCAACGCGCUCGCCGCCAUACACCAGCAUGCGAUCAAUGCGCCAAGGACAUCAGCCGAUCGCAAUUUAAACAGCCGAAUUUAUUUUCGAAUGUGACGCGCUAGACGUUAUCAACAUGGCCGAUACAUGUACCCUGUCACGUACUUCCUGAUCGUCGCGUCUAUCUCCAUGGUCGCCAACUGUUAACUACGGAACAUCGAACUCACGCAGCGUCGGAACGAGCAAACGAUUUAUGGUGUCAUCAGUGUGAUACAAUGGAAGAUGGAGAGAGAUGCGCCAAUCUGACCGGAAACUUCACCACUUUCGGGCACAAGUGCACUGGUGAUAAAAGGACCUGUAUGGUAAUGACAAAUGAUAACAGCGAUUCGAACGCUUGUUGAUUAUACACAGGUCACGCACGUGUUUCAGCAGAUGUUUGAUAUUUUGCUUUGAUCGCGUGCUUUUAAAGCAAACAGAAUAUAGCAAACAGCUAGCUAAAAGCGAUAUUAGUUAUCGUCAACACGAGAGCGAGAGAAGGCUGUUCAAGAUAGAGACACAGUUUCAUUUCGUUCAUAACGCGAUUAGUGUUUGGAAAUGUUCAAUAUAGUCGAUCAAUUCAGUUUCAUAAUAAUUACGUACUUUAUUGAAAUUGAAUCCGCUUUAUAGGAACAUAUGUACAUGGUGUACACAUUUGAGGGAAUAUGCAAAUGCAAUUUUUUAUUUGUUCUUCUUAUUUAUUGGUAAUCAACAAUGAUAUUGGAUAUGAUAUAAUUGUACAGUUUGCACAUACACGGCAAAAAUAUUACGAAAUCCGUAAUCGAUAUUAGCCGACCGAAUUAACAAUGAACGAACCGUAUUCUCUGGAAAUGAUGCGAGAUAUUCUGGAAAAUUGAUAUUCCCUCGACUAAAAAUAUGUUACGUUCACACUCACUCGUGUUCGUUACAAGUUCCAAUGUGAAAUGUCAUACAGAGUGAAACAAGGAAUUGUUGCAAAUAUUAAUUUAAUUUUAGUAUCAAGAAUCAUUCUACGUACAUGUAGAAUUCUUUCUCAUCUUUUCUUUUCAGUCUUCUUUUUUCUCUUUUCGCUCGAUACUAUCAAGUUCGUGGUUUAAUGCUGCCCAAAAUGAGCUCGUACU